rnacentral:rRNA from 1 species
CCUACGGGUGGCAGCAGUGGGGAAUAUUGCACAAUGGGGGGAACCCUGAUGCAGCGACGCCGCGUGGGUGAGGAAGUCCUUCGGUAUGUAAAGCCCUAUUAGCAGGGAAGAAAAUGACGGCACUUGAUUAAGAAGCCCCGGCUACCUACGUGCCAGCAGCCGCGGCAAUACGUAGGGGGCAAGCGUUAUCCGGAUUUACUGGGUGUAAAGGGAGCGUAGACAGCGUGGCAAGUCUGAUGGGAAAGGCCCGGGCUCAACCCCGGGACUGCAUUGGAAACUGGCAUGCUGGAGUGCGGGAGGGGCAGGCGGAAUUCCUAGUGUAGCGGUGAAAUGCAUAGAUAUUAGGAGGAACACCGGUGGCGAAGGCGGCUUGCUGGACGGUAACUGACGUUGAGGCUCGAAAGCGUGGGGAGCAAACAGGAUUAGAUACCCUAGUAGUC